CCUACGGGAGGCUGCAGUGAGGAAUAUUGGUCAAUGGGCGUAAGGCUGAACCAGCCAAGUCGCGUGAAGGAUGAAGGACCUAUGGUUUGUAAACUUCUUUUAUAGGGGAAUAAAGUUAUCCACGUGUGGCUAUUUGCAUGUACCUUAUGAAUAAGCAUCGGCUAACUCCGUGCCAGCAGCCGCGGUAAUACGGAGGAUGCGAGCGUUAUCCGGAUUUAUUGGGUUUAAAGGGAGCGUAGGUGGUUUGUUAAGUCAGCGGUGAAAGUUUGUGGCUCAACCAUAAAAUUGCCGUUGAUACUGGAAGACUUGAGUGUGUUUGAGGUAGGCGGAAUGCGUGGUGUAGCGGUGAAAUGCAUAGAUAUCACGAAGAACUCCGAUUGCGAAGGCAGCUUACUAAGCCAUAACUGACACUGAAGCACGAAAGCGUGGGGAUCAAACAGGAUUAGAUACCCUAGUAGUC
rnacentral:rRNA from 1 species